rnacentral:rRNA from 1 species
GGAUAACUGUGGUAAUUCUAGAGCUAAUACAUGCACUAAAGCCCUGACCUUACGGAAAGGGUGCAUUUAUUAGAACAAAACCAAGCCGCUUGCGGUUUUUUGUUGACUCAGAAUAACUCAGCUGAUCGCAUGGUCUUGUACCGGCGACGUGUCUUUCGAGUAUCUGCCUUAUCAACUUUCGAUGGUAGUGUAUCUGACUACCAUGGUGGUGACGGGUAACGGAGGAUAAGGGUUCGACUCCGGAGAAGGCGCCUGAGAAAUGGCGACUACGUCUAAGGAUGGCAGCAGGCGCGCAAAUUACCCACUCUCAGAAUGAGGAGGUAGUGACGAGAAAUAACGAGACCGUUCUCUAYGAGGCCGGUCAUCGGAAUGGGUACAAUCUAAACCCUUUAACGAGUAUCUAUGAGAGGGCAAGUCUGGUGCCAGCAGCCGCGGUAAUUCCAGCUCUCAAAAUGCAUAGAAUUAUUGCUGCGGUUAAAAAGCUCGUAGUUGGAUCUGUGCUAGAGACUUGGUCCACCUUCGGGUGCGUACUGAGCUCUCUUGCUUUUCUGCCGGUUUUCCCAGCAUGGCUUUAAUCGGCUGUGUUGGGUGGCUGGUGAUUUUACUUUGAACAAAUCAGAGUGCUUCAAACAGGCGUUUCGCUUGUAUGUUUUUGCAUGGAAUAAUAGAAGAGGAUYUCGGUUCUAUUUUAUUGGUUUUAUAGACCGAAAUAAUGGUUAACAGAGACGAACGGGGGCAUUAGUACUUUUGCGCUAGAGGUGAAAUUCUUGGACCGCAGAAAGACUAACUACAGCGAAAGCAUUUGCCAAGAACGUCUUCAUUAAUCAAGAACGAAAGUCAGAGGUUCGAAGGCGAUCAGAUACCGCCCUAGUUCUGACCGUAAACGAUGCCAACUAGCGAUCUGCCGGUGGAAUAUUCGCCCUGGUAGGGAGCUUCCCGGAAACGAAAGUCUUCCGGUUCCGGGGGAAGUAUGGUUGCAAAGCUGAAACUUAAAGGAAUUGACGGAAGGGCACCACCAGGAGUGGAGCCUGCGGCUUAAUUUGACUCAACACGGGAAAACUCACCCGGCCCGGACACUGUAAGGAUUGACAGAUUGAUAGCUUUUUCAUGAUUCGGUGGAUGGUGGUGCAUGGCCGUUCUUAGUUCGUGGAGCGAUUUGUCUGGUUUAUUCCGAUAACGAGCGAGACUCUAGCCU